GAAAGCCAGCAGCAGCAGCAGCAGCAGCAGCAGCAGCAGCAGCAGCAGCAGCCGCCACAGCAGUAGCAGUAGCAGCAUUUAGCAGUAGCUUUAACAGGGUAGCGACAUUAGCAGCUUUCCUCCUUCUCUCUCUCUCCCGCCAACAGCCACUGCUACCGCACUGAGCGGGCUCCAGCGCCAUGAGCGCAGCUGUCUCCCGAGGUAGCCACUGCACGAGCUAGCGCUUGUGCGGGCCAAGUGCGGAUCCCUGGAGCAGCUGGCAGCCGCAGAGGCACUGAGUUCCAGGACCAGAGCCCUAUAGAUCUGACUCCAUCUAGCAAGGCGGCAGCAGCGCCUGAGGGAGAGAGCCGCGUCCACCUGGCGGGCCUGGCACAUGGAGCUGAGGCAGAGGUUGUGGUGACAGCAGCGGCGGCGGCGGCGGCGGCGGCAGCGGCGGCGGCGGCGGCAGCAGCAGCGGCAGCAGCAGCAGCAGCAGCAGCAGUGGCAGCUAGAGCAACGGUGGUGGUGGCGGGAGCCCAGCUUUCACUGCGGCCGUGCUCGUUCCAGCGCCCACAGCCACAACCCGCCAGCGACGUGCACCCCAGGAGUCGGCCUGUGAGGUGCUGAUGUCAUGAUAUUGAUGACCCCAAUGAUUCAUGAUUCAAGGCCAAAGUCACUUCUAGUCAAACACUGAAAGAUGCUGAAAAGGAGCCCCAUUCCUCUCCAAUCAUUCCCAGAGGCAAAGAUGAAUUUGGCCUUCAGAUUCUAGGACUUAAACCAGCAGCCUCCAUUUCUCACCACAAACCCCUCCACCCUAGGUUUCAGACAAGAGAUUGUGGACUUCUUGGCUUCCACAACCAUGUAAG